rnacentral:rRNA from 1 species
GACGAACGCUGGCGGCGUGCCUAAUACAUGCAAGUCGAGCGCAGGAAGCUGACGGAACUCUUCGGAGGGAAGGCAGUGGAAUGAGCGGCGGACGGGUGAGUAACACGUAAGGAACCUGCCUCAAGGAUUGGGAUAACUCCGAGAAAUCGGAGCUAAUACCGGAUAGUUCAACGGACCGCAUGGUCCGCUGAUGAAAGGCGCUCCGGCGUCACCUUGAGAUGGCCUUGCGGUGCAUUAGCUAGUUGGUGGGGUAACGGCCCACCAAGGCGACGAUGCAUAGCCGACCUGAGAGGGUGAUCGGCCACACUGGGACUGAGACACGGCCCAGACUCCUACGGGAGGCAGCAGUAGGGAAUCUUCCACAAUGGACGAAAGUCUGAUGGAGCAACGCCGCGUGAGUGAUGAAGGUCUUCGGAUCGUAAAACUCUGUUGUAAGGGAAGAACACGUACGAGAGGAAAUGCUCGUACCUUGACGGUACCUUACGAGAGAGCCACGGCUAACUACGUGCCAGCAGCCGCCGUAACAC